rnacentral:rRNA from 1 species
AUACGUAGGGUGCAAGCGUUAAUCGGAAUUACUGGGCGUAAAGCGUGCGCAGGCGGUUUUGUAAGACAGAGGUGAAAUCCCCGGGCUCAACCUGGGAACUGCCUUUGUGACUGCAAGGCUAGAGUACGGCAGAGGGGGAUGGAAUUCCGCGUGUAGCAGUGAAAUGCGUAGAUAUGCGGAGGAAAACCGAUGGCGAAGGCAAUCCCCUGGGCCUGUACUGACGCUCAUGCACGAAAGCGUGGGGAGCAAACAGGAUUAGAUACCCUGGUAGUCCACGCCCUAAACGAUGUCAACUGGUUGUUGGGUCUUCAUUGACUCAGUAACGAAGCUAACGCGUGAAGUUGACCGCCUGGGGAGUACGGCCGCAAGGUUAAAACUCAAAUGAAUUGACGGGG